rfam:Otolemur garnettii contig119262, whole genome shotgun sequence.
GCCAUACUCAGUGGCAUGUGCUUGUAGUCCCACCUACUUGGGAGGCUGAGAUACUGGUAGGAAGACCACUUGAGUCCAGGAGUUCUGGGCUACAGUGUGCUAUGUUGAUUGGGUGUCCACACUAAGUUUGGCAGCAUCAAUAUGGUGACCUCCUGGAGUGGGGGUCCACCAGGUUGUCUAAGGAGGGGUGAACUGGUCCAGGUCAGAAAUGGAGCAGGUCAAAACUCCCAUGCUGAUCAGAAGUGGGAUUGUGUCUGUGAAUAGCCACUGCACUCCAGCCUGGACAACAUAGUGAGACCCUGUUUCUU